AGUGAGCGCUGGCGGUAGGCCUAACACAUGCAAGUCGAACGGCAGCACAGUAAGAGCUUGCUCUUACGGGUGGCGAGUGGCGGACGGGUGAGGAAUACAUCGGAAUCUACUUUUUCGUGGGGGAUAACGUAGGGAAACUUACGCUAAUACCGCAUACGACCUACGGGUGAAAGCAGGGGAUCUUCGGACCUUGCGCGAUUGAAUGAGCCGAUGUCGGAUUAGCUAGUUGGCGGGGUAAAGGCCCGCCAAGGCGACGAUCCGUAGCUGGUCUGAGAGGAUGAUCAGCCACACUGGACCUGCGACCCGGUCCAGACUCCUACGGGAGGCAGCAGUGGGGAAUAUUGGACAAUGGGCGCAAGCCUGAUCCAGCCAUACCGCGUGGGUGAAGAAGGCCUUCGGGUUGUAAAGCCCUUUUGUUGGGAAAGAAAAGCAGCAGGUUAAUACCCCGCUGUUCUGACGGUACCCAAAGAAUAAGCACCGGCUAACUUCGU
rnacentral:rRNA from 1 species